GACGAACGCUGGCGGCGUGCUUAACACAUGCAAGUCGAACGGUGAAGCGAGUGCUUGCACUCGUGGAUCAGUGGCGAACGGGUGAGUAACACGUGAGUAACCUGCCCAUCACUCUGGGAUAAGCACUGGAAACGGUGUCUAAUACUGGAUACGACCAACCCUUGCAUGGGGUGUUGGUGGAAAGAUUUAUCGGUGAUGGAUGGACUCGCGGCCUAUCAGCUUGUUGGCGGGGUAAUGGCCCACCAAGGCGACGACGGGUAGCCGGCCUGAGAGGGUGACCGGCCACACUGGGACUGAGACACGGCCCAGACUCCUACUGGAGGCAGCAGUGGGGAAUAUUGCACAAUGGGCGAAAGCCUGAUGCAGCGACGCCGCGUGAGGGAUGACGGCCUUCGGGUUGUAAACCUCUUUCAGCAGGGAAGAAGCGAAAGUGACGGUACCUGCAGAAGAAGCACCGGCUAACUACGUG
rnacentral:rRNA from 1 species